UUAGCAUGUUUUGUUGUAGCCUCUGUUAUUGGUAAUGGUGAGAGGUUAGCAUGUUUUGUUGUAGCCUCUGUUAUUGGUAAUGGUGAGAGGUUAGCAUGUUUUGUUGUAGCCUAUGUUAUUGGUAAUGGUGAGAGGUUAGCAUGUUUUGUUGUAUCCUCUGUUAUUGGUAAUGGUGAGAGGUUAGCAUGUUUUGUUGUAACCUCUGUUAUUGGUAAUGGUGAGAGGUUAGCAUGUUUUGUUGUAUCCUCUGUUAUUGGUAAUGGUGAGAGGUUAGCAUGUUUUGUUGUAACCUCUGUUAUUGGUAAUGGUGAGAGGUUAGCAUGUUUUGUUGUAUCCUCUGUUAUUGGUAAUGGU